UUGCUCGGGUUUCCUUUCAUUAAUGUACAAAUCUUUCGCCCUUCAUGUUAAAGAUUUUCGUGGAGAGGAACGUUCAACAGUUCUCUCUAUUUUUGGAAGCUGUGGCAGUACUCAUAGCC